rnacentral:tRNA from 1 species
GCCUGGGUGGCUCAGUCGGUUAAGCGUCUGACUUCAGCUCAGGUCAUGAUCUCGUGGUCUGUGAGUUUGAGCCCCACGUCAGGCU